rnacentral:rRNA from 1 species
AUGGCCUCCUCCAACCCCAGCUCCGGCGCCACCGCCGCCGACGACCUCGACCAGCUCCUCGACAGCGCCCUCGAUGACUUCACCAGCCUCGAUCUCGCCGCCGCCCCCAAAAGCAGCGGCGAGGCAUCGGCAUCGUCGUCGUCCGGGAGCGCGAGGCCGGUGAAGGGUCUGGGGAUGUCGCUGCCUGACCCCAGGGCGCCAAGGAGGCGGGCGGCGAGGCAACCCCCGCCGCCGCCGAGGGGCGCGCACGCGUCGGAGGCGCUCGAGAAGCUGACGCGCGAGACGCGGGAGGCGGUCCGGGGCCUCGAGACGGCCACCGGGGGGAUCGCAGGCCUGGAUGACGAGGCGAUGAUGGAGGACUUUGUGAAGCAGUUCGAGGAGUUCGCUGGCGCGCAGGAUAUGGAUUCUAUUGUUGAAACAAUGAUGAAACAACUUCUUUCCAAGGAGAUUCUUUACGAACCCAUGAAGGACAUUGUAGAGAAGUACCCAAAAUGGCUGGAGGAUAACAAAAGCAAGAUAAGCAAAGAAGAAUAUGAGCGUUACAGCAAUCAGCUUGAACUCAUGCUGAAACUUAAUGAGGUCUAUGAACAUGAGCCUGAGAAUAUGUCUAAGGUUUUUGAGAUCAUGCAAAACAUGCAAGAAUGUGGUCAGCCCCCCAGUGAUCUUGUUCAAGAUAUUGUUCCGGAUCUGGAUCUGAGCAAGUUGGGACAACUAUCUCCUGAGAUGCUUGAAUCAACAGAAAAUUGCUGCAUAAUGUGA